rnacentral:rRNA from 1 species
UGUGUAGGCGGCCGCGCAAGUCUGGUGUGAAAUCUUCACCGCUUAACGGGAAGAGGUCGCUGGAAACUGCGUGGCUCGAGUAUGGUAGAGGCAAGCGGAAUUCCUGGUGUAGCGGUGGAAUGUGUAGAUAUCAGGAAGAACACCGGUGGCGAAGGCGGCUUGCUGGGCCAUCACUGACGCUGAGACACGAAAGCGUGGGGAGCAAACGGGAUUAGAUACCCCGGUAGUCCACGCUGUAAACGGUGCGCACUAGGUGUGAGGGGUAUCGACCCCCCUUGUGCCGAAGCAAACGCAUUAAGUGCGCCGCCUGGGGAGUACGGCCGCAAGGUUGAA